ensembl:lncRNA
GAUAAGGACAAUACCAUAGAGGUGGUUAGAUAAGGACAAUACCAUAGAGGUGGUUAGAUAAGGACAAUACCAUAGAGGUGGUUAGAUAAGGACAAUACCAUAGAGGUGGUUAGAUAAGGACACUGCCAUAGAGGUUGUCAGAUACAGGACACUACCAUAGAGGUGGUUAGAUACAGGACACUGCCAUAGAGGUUGUCAGAUACAGGACACUACCAUAGAGGUGGUUAGAUACAGGACACUAGCAUAGAGGUGGUUAGAUACAGGACACUACCAUAGAGGUGGUUAGAUAAGGACACUACCAUAGAGGUGGUUAGAUACAGGACACUACCAUAGAGGUGGUUAGAUAAGGACACUACCAUAGAGGUGGUUAGAUACAGGACACUACCAUAGAGGUGGUUAGAUACAGGACACUACCAUAGAGGUGGUUAGAUACAGGACACUACCAUAGAGGUGGUUAGAUACAGGACACUACCAUAGAGGUGGUUAGAUAAGGACAUUAGUGUAGAGGUGGUUAGAUACACGACACUGUCUUUAGGGUGCUUGGAGUGCAGUAGGCCCUAACGAUAGACACUUGAACCUCAACUUUGAUGUGCAGAAGUAAUAUGAUCCACUGUAUAAGCCAACAACAACAACAACAACAACAUGCUUCUGUGUCAUUGUAUUCUUUGACUCAACUCAAGGAUAUGUAACAUAUUAUUGGAGAGGUAAACCUUCUCAUGUGAUGUACAGUUGUAUUUUAAUACACAGAAUCAGCACUACAGUCCCAGGAACAGGACGUGAACCAUCCAAAUCUCUUGUUGUGUACAUUACAGAGUGACGUUACUUAGCAUUCGGUAGUAGUUCUUUAAACAGACACCAGCUUGGUUAACUUAGUGUAAUGAACAACAGUCUAAGGUCUGUGUCCCAAAUGGCACUCUAUCCCCUGCAGUAUGUAGUGCACUAUGGGCCCUGGGCAAAAGUAGUGCACUAUACCCUCUUAGAAUUAGUGGUGACUUGAGGAACCCUGGAGAUCUUCAAGGAACAAUUGGACAUCCUCAAGGAACUCCUGGAGAUCCUCAAAAAAAACCUGCAGAUCCUCAAGGAACCCCUGCAGAUCCUCAAGGAACCCUUGUUGAUCCUCAAGGAACCCCUGUUGAUCCUCAAGGAACCCCUG